rnacentral:rRNA from 1 species
GACGGGGGGGGGCAAGUGUUCUUCGGAAUGACUGGGCGUAAAGGGCACGUAGGCGGUGAAUCGGGUUGAAAGUGAAAGUCGCCAAAAAGUGGCGGAAUGCUCUCGAAACCAAUUCACUUGAGUGAGACAGAGGAGAGUGGAAUUUCGUGUGUAGGGGUGAAAUCCGUAGAUCUACGAAGGAACGCCAAAAGCGAAGGCAGCUCUCUGGGUCCCUACCGAGCUGGGGUGCGAAAGCAUGGGGAGCGAACAGGAUUAGAACCUACCGUAGUCAGAUCCAAGACC